rnacentral:lncRNA from 1 species
AAGAUGGAGUGGACUCGUUCCCUGGCCACGGAGGCUGACAGCUCCUCCACCACGUCUUGAAGAAAUUGGUGUCACUCCUGAGCAAUUCCGUGAAGAUACGGUAUUUCUUCUCUCCCUACAGCGAAAGCUCUGUUUGAGUAAUCCAGAAUCUGAGAACUUAAAUUUCAAAACUGCCAUACCUCUCUACAUCCAAACACUUCGUUAUUGCUCACUAAAGUGGGGUGCGAGUGUAGGAAACAUGGCGGCUUAGAGUGAUAGAAUACUGGAAACUGCUGAAACCAAUGGUGCAAAAGAACUCCAUAAGAAACGUGAUGGACAUGAGCUCAAACCUUGGCGGUUUCGCAGCUGCUCUAAACGAUAAAGAUGUAUGGGUAAUGAAUGUCAUGCCCGUUCAAUCCUCUCCGAGAAUGAAGAUCAUCUACGACCGUGGCCUUAUCGGAGCCACUCAUGAUUGGUAUGUAAAUGACUUGAUAUCGAGACAUUGUGCAUAAUCCAAUCAUGUUAAAUGAAUUUUCUUUGCAGGUGUGAAGCCUUUGACACAUACCCACGAACAUUUGAUCUUAUCCACGCAUGGAACACGUUCACAGAAACCCAAA